GCCCGAGUGACGCAGUGGCUUAGCGUGCCGUUCUUAUACUCUCUUCCUUGCGGAAGCUUGUAUGAUAUGAAAUGCGGAAGUCGUGAGUUCGAUCCUCACCUUGGGCA
rnacentral:tRNA from 1 species